CCCUUAGAUGUUCUGGGCCGCACGCGCGCUACACUGAUGCAUUCAACGAGCCUAUCCUUGACCGACAGGUCCGGGUAAUCUUUGAAUCUGCAUCGUGACGGGGAUAGAUUAUUGCAAUUAUUAAUCUUCAACGAGGAAUGCCUAGUAGGCGCAAGUCAUCAGCUUGCGUCGAUUACGUCCCUGCCCUUUGUACACACCGCCCGUCGCUACUACCGAUUGAACGUUUUAGUGAGCUCCUCGGAUUGUCAGCCUGGCGGUUAAUCCUGCCUGGCUAGCGAAAAGACGAGCAAACUUGAGCGUUUAGAGGAAGUAAAAGUCGUAACA
rnacentral:rRNA from 1 species